rnacentral:rRNA from 1 species
UACGUAGGGUGCAAGCGUUAAUCGGAAUUACUGGGCGUAAAGCGUGCGCAGGCGGUUCGUUAAGUCAGAUGUGAAAGCCCCGGGCUCAACCUGGGAACUGCAUUUGAAACUGGCGGCUUGAGUGUGGCAGAGGGGGUGGAAUUCCGCGUGUAGCAGUGAAAUGCGUAGAGAUGCGGAGGAACACCGAUGGCGAAGGCAGCCCCUGGCCAACACUGACGCUCAGGCACGAAAGCGUGGGGAGCAAACAGG